rnacentral:rRNA from 1 species
CAGCAGUGGGGAAUAUUGCACAAUGGGGGAAACCCUGAUGCAGCGACGCCGCGUGGAGGAAGAAGGUUUUCGGAUUGUAAACUCCUGUCGUUAGGGACGAUAAUGACGGUACCUAACAAGAAAGCACCGGCUAACUACGUGCCAGCAGCCGCGGUAAAACGUAGGGUGCAAGCGUUGUCCGGAAUUACUGGGUGUAAAGGGAGCGCAGGCGGGAAGACAAGUUGGAAGUGAAAACCAUGGGCUCAACCCAUGAAUUGCUUUCAAAACUGUUUUUCUUGAGUAGUGCAGAGGUAGAUGGAAUUCCCGGUGUAGCGGUGGAAUGCGUAGAUAUCGGGAGGAACACCAGUGGCGAAGGCGACCUACUGGGCACCAACUGACGCUGAGGCUCGAAAGCAUGGGUAGCAAACAGGAUUAGAUACCCUGGUAGUCCAUGCCGUAAACGAUGAUUACUAGGUGUUGGGGGAUUGACCCCCUCAGUGCCGCAGUUAACACAAUAAGUAAUCCACCUGGGGAGUACGACCGCAAGGUUGAAACUCAAAGGAAUUGACGGGGGCCCGCACAAGCAGUGGAGUAUGUGGUUUAAUUCGAAGCAACGCGAAGAACCUUACCAGGUCUUGACAUCCGAUGCAUAGCACAGAGAUGUGUGAAAUCCUUCGGGACAUCGAGACAGGUGGUGCAUGGUUGUCGUCAGCUCGUGUCGUGAGAUGUUGGGUUAAGUCCCGCAACGAGCGCAACCCUUAUUGCCAGUUACUACGUUAAGAGGACUCUGGCGAGACUGCCGUUGACAAAACGGAGGAAGGUGGGGAUGACGUCAAAUCAUCAUGCCCUUUAUGACCUGGGCUACACACGUACUACAAUGGCGUUAAACAAAGAGAAGCAAGACCGCGAGGUGGAGCAAAACUCAAAAACAACGUCUCAGUUCAGAUUGCAGGCUGCAACUCGCCUGCAUGAAGUCGGAAUUGCUAGUAAUCGCGGAUCAGCAUGCCGCGGUGAAUACGUUCCCGGGCCUUGUACACACCGCCCGUCACACCAUG